UUGGUAGUUCAGUAAUAGAAUUCUUGCCUUACAUCCAAGAGACCUAGGUUCGAUUCCCAGCCAA
rnacentral:tRNA from 1 species